rnacentral:rRNA from 1 species
AUGAACGCUGGCGGCGUGCCUAAUACAUGCAAGUCGAGCGAACAGACGAGGAGCUUGCUCCUCUGACGUAGCGGCGGACGGGUGAGUAACACGUGGAUAACCUACCUAUAAGACUGGGAUAACUUCGGGAAACCGGAGCUAAUACCGGAUAAUAUAUUGAACCGCAUGGUUCAAUAGUGAAAGACGGUUUUGCUGUCACUUAUAGAUGGAUCCGCGCCGCAUUAGCUAGUUGGUAAGGUAACGGCUUACCAAGGCAACGAUGCGUAGCCGACCUGAGAGGGUGAUCGGCCACACUGGAACUGAGACACGGUCCAGACUCCUACGGGAGGCAGCAGUAGGGAAUCUUCCGCAAUGGGCGAAAGCUUGACGGAGCAACGCCGCGUGAGUGAUGAAGGUCUUCGGAUCGUAAAACUCUGUUAUUAGGGAAGAACAAAUGUGUAAGUAACUAUGCACGUCUUGACGGUACCUAAUCAGAAAGCCACGGCUAACUACGUG